GUCGCAAGACUGAAACUCAAAGGAAUUGACGGGGACCCGCACAAGCAGUGGAGUAUGUGGUUUAAUUCGAAGCAACGCGAAGAACCUUACCAGGUCUUGACAUCCCUCUGACCGGUCUAGAGAUAGACCUUUCCUUCGGGACAGAGGAGACAGGUGGUGCAUGGUUGUCGUCAGCUCGUGUCGUGAGAUGUUGGGUUAAGUCCCGCAACGAGCGCAACCCUUAUGCUUAGUUGCC
rnacentral:rRNA from 1 species